rnacentral:rRNA from 1 species
GCAAGUCGAGGGGUAACAUUACUGCUUGCAGUAGAUGACGACCGGCGCACGGGUGAGUAACGCGUAUGCAACCUACCCUUAACAGGAGGAUAGCCCAGAGAAAUCUGGAUUAAUACCGCAUAAUAUAUUUGAAUCGCAUGGUUUAAAUAUUAAAACUCCGGUGAUGUAAGAUGGGCAUGCGUAGCAUUAGUUAGUUGGUAAGGUAACGGCUUACCAAGACAAUGAUGCUUAGGGGGUCUGAGAGGAUAGUC